UGCCAGCCGCCGCGGUAAUACGAAGGGUGCAAGCGUUAAUCGGAAUUACUGGGCGUAAAGCGCGCGUAGGCGGUUAAGUAAGAUGGAUGUGAAAUACCCGGGCUCAACCUGGGAACUGCAUUCAUAACUGUUUAACUAGAGUACAGUAGAGGGUGGUGGAAUUUCCUGUGUAGCGGUGAAAUGCGUAGAUAUAGGAAGGAACACCAGUGGCGAAGGCGACCACCUGGACUGAUACUGACGCUGAGGUGCGAAAGCGUGGGGAGCAAACAGGAUUAGAUA
rnacentral:rRNA from 1 species